UUGCAAUACUUAUACAGCACUCCUCAUUUCUAAAUCAAAAAGUUGAGUACCUGCAGCCACAGGAGGGGAAGUUUAGGAUCUGAUGCCUGUAAUAUUUUUCAGACAGAAAACACUCUCCUAAUGCCUCUACCCAGGAGAUGGUAAACUACUCUGACAUCUCAGCUGUUGCCCCUCCAAGCAGAUUCACACACCUCUUGGCUAACACCCCCUUUGGGCAGGCAUCUAAUCAUGUUUACAGUUAUUCAUUAUGACUGGCUAUACACAGAUAGUGCCUUUGGUGUCAAACCGAAUGGCCCUGUAGACCUCUAGCCCAAGAGAGCUGGAAGAUACAGACAUACAUUAAAUAAGACACAGGCAAAAACAUAGCAUCCACUUCCCUGAGAUGGAAAGAGACUGAAGCUAGACCUGCUAGAGUCCUCCAGAGCUCCAGUGUGGGGAGGCCCAUUGCAAGCAGAGCAGGAUCAAAAAAUCUGAGUUGCUUCGGGAUCAGAAAGCUUGCCAGAAAGCUUCUGUGGGUGUCUGCAAGCAAAUAUGCCAGCAAGAAAAAAGAUGAACUGUUUUGCAGGGGAAUCAUCUUGCAGUAGAAGGAUGAAUAUGCAUGCUAAGUGCCAGGGCGUGUCCCUGAACCUCCGAGCUAGUAUACAUAUAGUGCAAUUUCAUGCAACUCUCUGUCCGAGACCAUGAAGUGGAGAAGUGCUUUUUACCAUCUGCAAUAAUCUAAAUGGGGAGUCUUGGGGGUGGGGGAGAGGGUGGAGAGAUAAUGACAUGGAGAGAUGGCCUCCAGUCCUCAAAAUCCACUGUAAUGCACACUCUGUGUUUAAACAAGGCGAACUUGCAUUUCCUCAAAAGUCAUUUAGACACAGUCACAUAAUUGGGAGUGAAUCUAAAACCUCUAGAAAGAGCGGCACAUUUUCCCACUGACACAGCUGUAUUGAAAAAUCAACCCAUGGCUCUAAGGGAAAUGAGAAAACACAACUGGUGAUUUCUAGCAAGGCAUCCAAUCUUCAUUUUUGUGAUCCCUCAAUUCUCAGUUCAAGUAUAAACAGAACUUUUUUCUUCCCCUGAAGUAGGAAAAGGAUUAAGUAGGCAGGACGCUUUCUGAGUUCUGUGUAGCAUAUGUUCAUAAGCUUCCCUUUUGUAGCAUUUAUGGAUUCAUUCUGGAGUAGGGUUAAGCUGGAGCAAAGCAAUUUGGCAUGCUUGCAUUUGCUUUAUCGGGAGAAGCAAGUGCAGUCUGCAGGGGCCACCCUGACCAGAGUGGCAAAGAAGCUUCCUGGAACCCUGAGGGGGAUGCUGAUUAUUUUCCUUACAGGGAUGCUCAAACUGAGCCUUCCUCCUUGCAAAUCGGAAAAUGAGCUUCAUGUAAAUCACCCUCAGGAAAGUGGCGCCCCCCCCCCCCAACCAAGAGUGAUCAUAAUCAGGUAAACUUAAUUUCUGACCAGCUUCAGCAAUCACCCUGCAGUAUCUGCACUGCCACACAACCUCGAGGUCAGCAUUCCAAUCCGCCCCAGUCCGAGGCCCGCAUUCAGUGACAGAUGGGAUUUCCCAAUCUGUAUGUGGGCUUCCGUAGGCUCCUUCCCUGUGACACAUACAGUGCCGCUCUCAAUAGGGGUGUGGUAGAAGGAUUUUUAAUGCUCACAAUGCAAAUUUAAAAAGCAAUUAUUUACUUAAUAUUUUUAAAUG
rnacentral:lncRNA from 1 species